CCUUCUUCACUCACCGACUCCCAGUCCCCUCACUCUCUCACUCCACUCUCUUUCUUCUCUCUCUAGGGUUUUUCCGAUUACCGAAGCGAGAGAAAUCGAGCAACCGCUAUGGCGUCGACCGCUGGGGUUUUCGGAAACCACUGCAGAGCACUCAUGGCAGCCGCUAAGACCUCCGUCGCCUUCACCACUUCUGGAUCCGCCGCUGCCAAAACUUCUGGCCGCAGAAAUGGCAUCCUGAAGAAGCAGCCUGUCUCCCCUGCUCUCCGCUAGUUCGAUAAAGGGCCAAUCUUUGCCGCAGUUUUGUUGGGAUGGCUUGGGUCGAAGCCGAAGCAUCUGAGGAGGUAUGGUGCCAUUCUUGACAAUUUACAAAGUAGGCCAGAUUUAUUUGAGAAAAUCAAGGGAAUUAUUGUUGAUUCAGGAGGUGACGCUAAUAUAGAUCCCAAGGUCUGGGCUGCUGGAUUUACUGUAGCCCUGCUAAAGAAAUACAGUUCAUCAUCUUAUCCAUCAGUUGAAACCGUAGGAAGAAAUCAAUUGGAAAGUGGAGUUGAUACCUCAAAGUUGCGAGAAAAGGAGCCCCUGUUCGUUGAGAUAAUUUUGGCCUAAUGUUACUCAAAAACUGCAAACUCUUGUUUCUGAAUAUUUCCAUUGAGAUAUGGUAUUUCAUUUUUGUCCAAUGGUAGCUGUUGGUACUCUUGGUUCUAUAAUUUAGCAAUGAGGCACGUAUCAUUCUCAAUAAGCUUUCCCAUCAUCUUUGUUAUAUAUAUAUAAAAAAAAACCUACCCAAACUGAUAGGGCAGCUUUGGUAGAGUAGCAGAUAGCAAAUAUCCCUAAAUUGAGCCAGUACCAUGAAUUUUGGGAAAAAGCCAGAAUUUGAAAACUGAAUCAGAAGGAAAACAAGACCUAAGGUUGUCACGGCAUAAUUUGAGGUAAAUAAUCUCAAUAUUUUCCAUUUAUUUUCAAACAUUUCUGUCUAAUUGCUGUUUGUUAAUGUCUUAUGCCCAUUAUGUGUUGGCUUAUUACAAUCUUUGCUUGGAUUUGAGUUUAGUGUUGGGUGCUGUAAAUAUCUGUUGUUUGUGUAAUGAAGGGAUUUUCCGAAGAGUUUUUAUUCUGUAAUUUUAGAUUUGAUAUUGGUUGGUUCCUGUUUAAAAGGAAAAUGAAGAACCCGUUUCUUGACUCGAUAUUUCUAUUCCUAUAAUGAGUUGGACAACAGUGGGUUGAGGCUGAUUUUUCUGUUGAACAUUUGAACCGACUGAUUUAAUUCAAGGACUUCUUCCCCAUUGCCCCAACUAUAAUGGUGGGUAGUGAUAAGAGAAAGAGUUUUUCAUAAGAGGACAUAUGCAAUAGACAUUUCUGAUGAUCAUUACAGUUUAUGUCUUCGGAAAUAGGCAAAAAAUGCAAUAUAGUUAUCCAAAAUAGUGAAUUUAUCCAAAAACAGAAUGAAUUUGUUUGAUCAGGCACAUGUGUACUAUGAAGCUUCAAACGACUGUGCAGCCUUUCUUGCUAACUAUGACAGGAAAGUAGAUGCCAACGUCGUCACAUUCAAGGGGAAUUCAUAUUUCCUUCCUGCUUGGUCUGUGAGCAUUCUUGCAGACUGCAAAAAUGUUGUUUUCAACACAGCAAAGAACAGCACUUAACUGGAAAAGCAGAGAGGCUAGCUAAUGCCUAAAAGGCCAGCAAUGGGAGAAAUUUUCAUUCAGAUAAGAGUUUUGCUCAAACUCAAUAUUCCAUUAAGGACAAUAUGGAACUCUAUUGAUCGAAACAACUAUCACAGUUCACUAAUUCGAUGAGUUUCUGUCAUUAUGAAACUGAAGUAUACAUAAAGGUGGAGAAAAUGAAGACGAUGGCACGAAAAUCUUUGUGACAGAACUUAUCAUGACAUAAACUUGACCUGUCUAAACCUCAAGUAAAAAUUUUCUCUUUACCCAUUUUUUCCUCACUCAAUCCAUUUUCCACUCCUAGUUAAAAAUCUGUCAGUACCAUGUCUUUCAGUCCAUUUUCCUCACUGAAUCUUAGAAGCUUUAUGCAUGUAGUUCAUUCUUUUUCUUAACUUUCUGUGCAACUGAUUUUGUUCCUGAUGGUAACAUAUCUACUCCCAUUAAACUGGUUGUUACACUUGGUGCAUUAUGUUUGGUGUUCUGUUUUCUGUAUAUUUCUUCACUAAUCAGCUUUUUCAUUGGAGCCUCAAUUGAAAAAUGGUUCUCAGCUUUUUCAUCGCCUUUUUUGCAGCUGCUUUACGCUGGACUCAAGAGACAAUUAGGCCUGUUUUUACCUUUGUUCUUCUAAUUUUUCAUUACUUUCAGUCUAGCUUCAUAUUGAUUGUGAGAAGACUGUUGGAUAUGCUGCUAGAGAUGAUUGAAAUAUAACAUUGGUGCUAUAGUCUAUGCUUUAGUUUAGAAAUCUAGUACUCUUAUCUUUUGGGAAGGAUAUGUAUUGGCCAUUACUACUUGAAUUGAUUAUGUGGGAUUUAGGGCCCAAUAUUUGUGGUUCACUUUUGUUUUGAUUAAUUUAUAGAUGUGUUAUGGCCAAAUAUAUGAAUUUGCGGCAUAUAUUCUAUGCUGAUUUUGCCUUUUGUCAAAUUGAAUGUUCUACUAUA